UUAAUUGAAGCCAAAAAGAGGCUUAUCACUGUUAAUGAUAGAACUGAGAUUCUUCUCCAAUUAAG
rnacentral:tRNA from 2 species